AGAGUUUGAUCAUGGCUCAGAACGAACGCUGGCGGCAGGCCUAAAACAUGCAAGUCGAACGCUCUAGCAAUAGAGAGUGGCGCACGGGUGCGUAACAUGUGGGAAUAUGCCUUUUGGUACGGAACAACUUUUGGAAACGAAAGCUAAUACCGUAUGGUCCCUUCGGGGUAAAGAUUUAUCGCCAAAAGAGUAGCCCGCACUGGAUUAGCUAGUUGGUGAGGUAAUGGCUCACCAAGGCGACGAUCCAUAGCUGGUCUGAGAGGACGAUCAGCCACACUGGGACUGAGACACGGCCCAGACUCCUACGGGAGGCAGCAGUUAGGAAUCUUGGACAAUGGGCGCAAGCCUGAUCCAGCCAUGCCGCGUGAGUGAUGAAGGCCUUCGGGUUGUAAAGCUCUUUAGUCCACGAAUAUAAUGACUGUAGUGGAAGAAUAAGCCCCGGCUAACUUCGUGCCAGCAGCCGCGGUAAUACGAAGGGGGCGAGCGUUGUUCGGAAUCACUGGGCGUAAAGCGUGCGUAGGUGGCGAGGAAAGUUAGAAGUGAAAGCCCAGGGCUCAACCUUGGAAUUGCUUUUAAAACUCCCUUGCUCGAAUAUCGGAGAGGAGAGCGGAAUUGUCAGUGUAGCAGUGAAAUGCGUAGAUAUUGACAGGAACACCAGUGGCGUAAGCGGCUCUCUGGACGAUUAUUGACACUGAGGCACGAAAGCGUGGGGAUCAAACAGGAUUAGAUACCCUAGUAGUCC
rnacentral:rRNA from 1 species